rnacentral:rRNA from 1 species
GACGAACGCUGGCGGCGUGCCUAAUACAUGCAAGUAGAACGCACAGUUUAUACCGUAGCUUGCUACACCAUACACUGUGAGUUGCGAACGGGUGAGUAACGCGUAGGUAACCUGCCUGGUAGCGGGGGAUAACUAUUGGAAACGAUAGCUAAUACCGCAUAAUAUUGAUUAUUGCAUGAUAAUUGAUUGAAAGAUGCUAUUGCAUCACUACCAGAUGGACCUGCGUUGUAUUAGCUAGUAGGUGAGGUAACGGCUCACCUAGGCGACGAUACAUAGCCGACCUGAGAGGGUGAUCGGCCACAAUGGGACUGAGACACGGCCCAGACUCCUACGGGAGGCAGCAGUAGGGAAUCUUCGGCAAUGGACGAAAGUCUGACCGAGCAACGCCGCGUGAGUGAAGAAGGUUUUCGGAUCGUAAAGCUCUGUUGUAAGAGAAGAACGGGUGUGAGAGUGGAAAGUUCACACUGUGACGGUAUCUUACCAGAAAGGGACGGCUAACUACGUG